GGGGGAAAGGGGGGGAUCUAUUUAUAGACCUUUCGCUAUUAGAUGAGCCUGCGUCGGAUUAGCUAGUUGGUAAGGUAAUGGCUUACCAAGGCGACGAUCCCUAGCUGGUCUUAGAGGAUGACCAGCCACACUGGAACUGAGACACGGUCCAGACUCCUACGGGAGGCAGCAGUGGGGAAUAUUGCACAAUGGAGGAAACUCUGAUGCAGCCAUGCCGCGUGUGUGAAGAAGGCUUUCGGGUUGUAAAGCACUUUCAGUGGGGAGGAAAGGUUGUAUGUUAAUAGCAUGCAGCUGUGACGUUACCCACAGAAGAAGCACCGGCUAACUCCGUGCCAGCAGCCGCGGUAAUACGGAGGGUGCGAGCGUUAAUCGGAAUUACUGGGCGUAAAGCGCGCGUAGGUGGUUAAUUAAGUCAGAUGUGAAAGCCCAGGGCUCAACCUUGGAACUGCAUUUGAAACUGGUUAACUAGAGUUUUGUAGAGGGUGGUAGAAUUUCAGGUGUAGCGGUGAAAUGCGUAGAGAUCUGAAGGAAUACCAGUGGCGAAGGCGGCCACCUGGACAAAGACUGACACUGAGGCGCGAAGGCGUGGGGAGCAAACGGGAUUAGAUACCCCGGUAGUCCACGCAGUAAACGAUGUCUAUUAGAAGUUUGUGGCUAUAUGCCGUGGGUUUCAAAGCUAACGCAUUAAAUAGACCGCCUGGGGAGUACGGCCGCAAGGUUAAAACUCAAAUGAAUUGACGGGGGCCCGCACAAGCGGUGGAGCAUGUGGUUUAAUUCGAUGCAACGCGAAGAACCUUACCAUCCCUUGACAUCCAGAGAAUCACCUAGAGAUAGAUGAGUGCCUUCGGGAACUCUGAGACAGGUGCUGCAUGGCUGUCGUCAGCUCGUGUUGUGAAAUGUUGGGUUAAGUCCCGCAACGAGCGCAACCCUUAUCCUUACUUGCCAGCGGGUUAUGCCGGGAACUUUAGGGAGACUGCCGGUGAUAAACCGGAGGAAGGUGGGGACGACGUCAAGUCAUCAUGGCCCUUACGGGAUGGGCUACACACGUGCUACAAUGGCAGAUACAAAGGGUUGCUAACCUGCGAGGGUAUGCGAAUCUCAUAAAGUCUGUCGUAGUCCGGAUCGGAGUCUGCAACUCGACUCCGUGAAGUUGGAAUCGCUAGUAAUCGUGGAUCAGAAUGCCACGGUGAAUACGUUCCCGGGCCUUGUACACACCG
rnacentral:rRNA from 1 species